rnacentral:rRNA from 1 species
AGUGAACGCUGGCGGUAGGCCUAACACAUGCAAGUCGAACGGCAGCACAGGAGAGCUUGCUCUCUGGGUGGCGAGUGGCGGACGGGUGAGGAAUACAUCGGAAUCUACUCUGUCGUGGGGGACAACGUAGGGAAACUUACGCUAAUACCGCAUACGACCUACGGGUGAAAGCAGGGGAUCUUCGGACCUUGCGCGAUUGAAUGCGCCGAUGUCGGAUUAGCUAGUUGGCGGGGUAAAGGCCCACCAAGGCGACGAUCCGUAGCUGGUCUGAGAGGAUGAUCAGCCACACUGGAACUGAGACACGGUCCAGACUCCUACGGGAGGCAGCAGUGGGGAAUAUUGGACAAUGGGCGCAAGCCUGAUCCAGCCAUACCGCGUGGGUGAAGAAGGCCUUCGGGUUGUAAAGCCCUUUUGUUGGGAAAGAAGUCCAGCUGGCUAAUACCCGGUUGGGAUGACGGUACCCAAAGAAUAAGCACCGGCUAACUUCGUGCCAGCCGCCGCAGUAA